UCUUCUCCAAUUGUUUUGGAAAUAUGAAACAAUUGGAGAUCUGAAGCUUCAAAACUCCUACCAACCACCAUCUCCUUCGUGAAGCCUUCCCUGCCCACCCCAGAUAGGAGGAAUGAAUGAACACCAGUAGUCUGCUGGCCUGCCUGGUCUGCCUGGUGUCUGGCAUCCAGAGACUUUUCCUGGCUGACCUUUUGGAGAAUGUCCAACAUUGAGAAAAUGGAAUCCAAAAGAAGACACAGAACCGGGCUCCAUGUUUUCAGAGACUGCACCACAUUGGUCAUUGGAGUUAAAUGUGUUCAUAUCCAUCGGCUCUGUGCUCUGUCACGCAAAAUAUUAAAAUGAAAUGCUAGGAGAACAGUUUGAAGCAAUCCUUCCUGUUCUUGAAACUCACCUUUAGCUGCUGAGAACGCUGGUAAUCCCUUUGUAGCUUACUGGGGGCACAUUUAUCAGUGAGGCAGCUAAGCCAAUUGUAGCUGCAUUCACAGGUGACCGUGCUGUCUGCCUGCCUUCCCAGAGAUACAAGAAACAAAACCAAACUGAUAGAGAGGAUCUGGCAUUGCAAAUUCACCCAAGAGAGGAGCCCAGGCCAGACUUCUGUUUUUAUGGACAGGAACAUUCGGUCCUCAGCAGACUUGCCUCUGAAUUCACAGGCUCCUCUUACAAUGCAAGCCACAAUUCUGAAAAAUAAAAGGGGAUCUCAAGCAGAAAAAGAGAUUACAAAUAAGGAUCAUUCAACAACAAUAACCAAAACAUAAACCCUGGCAACCACUGUGCUAAGCAGCCCUGGCGGAUGCCAGUCUUGC
rnacentral:lncRNA from 10 species